UGAAAGUUGAAGCUUAAGUGUGAGUUGCUUUCUCACACCAUCACUUGUGGCUGAAAACUUCUGAAGCCUCUUGGAUAACAGGAGCAUAUAUGACACCAGGAAAAAUCAUCCUAUACUGUAGCCCACGCGUGGAGCUCAGUGCUGCCACCUGGACCAGACAGCAGUGGCAGCAGAAAGCACACACGGACACUGGCACUGUGUCACCAGGUAGACCCACAGCUGUCCUCCAGCUGCGUCUGUCACCAGUACCCGGUAAUCAUAUCUGCAAAUUUCUCAGAGAUGGAUGAAAGAUAUCCAGCAUAUGCAGAGCUGAAGAAAUCUCUUCCUUACAAGAAGCACAUUCAAAUGAAUAACAAAAAAGAGGAACCAAUUUACUCAGAAGUGGAAGAAUGUCCUUCAAAUUCCAACCAAAUAAAGAAAAAAAUUGAAUCAUCUGAAGAAAAUGGGUUCUCAGUUCCCUUAGCCUGGCGCCUCACAGCUGUGGUUCUUGCUGGCUCGUGUUUCUUCCUCCUUUCAGCAACUGGAUUUUUGGGUUUCAUGGCAGGAGAAAAACUGCCAUCUCCCGAAGAAAGGAAGCAAAAAGGGUACGUGUAAAGUUAAGUGGUCAUGCUGUGGAGAGAGCUGUUAUUAUUUUUCACGGGGAAUGAAGAACUUUGAAGACAGUAGGAAACUCUGCAAAAAAAGGACUCCACACUUGUUAAGAUAGAAGAUACACAGGAACUGAACUUUAUUCAAAGCCAAAUAUCUUAUUUCUCUUGGAUUGGGUUGUCCCGUGAAGGAACCAGCACACCCUGGACAUGGGAGGAUAAGUCACAACCCUCUCUUGAAAGGUUCAUUUUGACUUUAAGGAAGAGUCAGAAGUUGUAUGGUGCCAGUUCUGGUGAACAAGAUAAAUGAGGGCACACCAGUGUUUUUACAAGCCUGCCCUUGCAUUGGACAGUACUCACUCUGCAGCCGCAUUCACCAUACUUUUGACCACAUCGUGAAAGAGGACUUCCAGAACUUCUACAGAAAGUGGGAAGGACAAGAACGAUGGGAUAAGUGUAAUCAAAGGAAGGGGGAACAUUUUGAGGAGGACUAAUGGCAAAGUCUCUUUUACUGUAAUAAUAUUUUAAUUUAAAAUACACCACAGGUUUUGAUCACACCUUCUAUAAACAUGUACCAUUAUCUACCAUAUCCAAUGAAUACAUACAAGUAAUGUGUGUCAUUUCAAAACUACCAUUUGAAUUUAAAACUAAAUGUUUUAAACUUCAAAAAAUAGUUUGUGAUAUGAAUCUAUAAUGACCUGCACAGUUUAAAUAAAUUUCAGGAAGACAUGCUCCACCCCACAAAUAAUGAGGAAUGUUUCAUUUGACAAAAGAUACCCCCUUUAUUGGCAAAAUGAAACAGCUUGAUAACACACAGUAAAGAUGUAGGGAACCAGACACUUGUGAGCACUGGAAAAGAUAUGACAACUGCAGUGGAAAGUAGAAAUCAAAUAUCUAUUAAACUUAAAAUACAAAACUACAAAUUACAAUCCUAGAGAUUUAUCAUACCAAUAUCGCUAUGUCCAGUAAAAGUGUACAAAGUGUUGUUACAGUAUUUUUGCACAAAUGCAAAAUUCUGGAAUAAAUCUAAAUAGUCAUUGAAAUAAAACUAGUUGAGUAAAUUUUGGUACAUAUAUUACUAGUACAGUAUAAUGCUUACAAAUGUUUACAAAAAGUGAAGCAACUCCUUAUGUACUGACAAGAAACAAUCUGUAAGACUUAAAAGUUAAAAAGCAAGAUUAUUGUUUAUACUUAUGUAAUACAUGGUUUGCCAGGUAAUGUGUAUAUUUGUACAUUCAUACAGUAUCUCUGAAAUAUUACCUGACAAUAGAUAAUAGUUGUUUGCCUAUAACAAGGAGACUAGGUGAGUAAGCAACAAAAUAGGACAGGGCAAUUUGGUUUCAUAGCUCAUUGUUUUGUUCAUUUUAUAUUUUAAACAAUAUGAAUAUUACUUAUCUAUCAUAUAAAUUUAAUUAAAUUAUUAAGAAAAUAAAUAAGAUCUUUUAACCAAUCAAAAUAAAUUUCUUCCAUGUUUUCUCAUUUAUCAAUUCUUAACAUUUCAAAAUAUACACUCACUUCUUGAAUUU
ensembl:lncRNA